rnacentral:ncRNA from 2 species
AUCGUUCAUCUCUCCAAAACAGGUUUGACUCUAAGCCGCUGUAAGCAUUGGGGAGACGGAAGUAGGGAGUAUUCAAACCAGUCAUCCCGAAGGAACGCGCC